UAGUCGAGAGGUCCUGCGCCGAAAAUGUCCGGGGCUGAAACACAACACCGAAGCUGCGGAAUUGCGAAUGCAAUUGGUAGAGGAGCAUUCUUAAUACCGACGAAGCUGUACCGGAAGGAGCAGUGGAGGGAUAAGAAGAGAGAAUGCCGGAAUGAGUAGCGAGAGAGAGGUGGGAAUCCUCUCGGCCGAAUAUCCAAGGUUUCCAGAGUAAAGCUGAUCUGCUCUGGGUAAGUCGGGGCCUAAGGCGAGGUCAAGAGACGUAGCCGAUGGACAACAGGUUUAGAUUCCUGUACCGCAUAUAAACAGAACUGUGGGGACGCAUGGGGAGAGCAUGGGCCGGGAAUGGAAAUACCGGUGCAAGCGAAGGAGGUGUGCAGCCGGCAAAUCCGCUGCAUGAGCCGAAAGCGUGACGCGGAGCGAAAUGAAAGUAGCGAAGCAUGUGAGCCCUGUGCCGAGAAAAGCCGCUAUUGUUUUAUAUGUGCCCGUACCGUAAACCGACACAGGUGGAUGAGGAGAGAAUCCUAAGGCCGGCGGAAGAAGUAUUGUUAAGGAACUCGGCAAAAUGACCCCGUAACUUCGGGAGAAGGGGUGCCCACGGGAGUGGGCCGCAGAGAAUAGGCUCAAGCAACUGUUUAGCAAAAACACAGGUCUAUGCGAAACCGAAAGGUGAAGUAUAUGGGCUGACGCCUGCCCGGUGCUGGAAGGUUAAGAGGAGAGGUUAGCGCAAGCGAAGCUUUGAAUUUAAGCCCCAGUAAACGGCGGCCGUAACUAUAACGGUCCUAAGGUAGCGAAAUUCCUUGUCGGGUAAGUUCCGACCCGCACGAAAGGCGUAAUGAUUUGAGCACUGUCUCGACAAUGCAUCCGGUGAAAUUGAAGUACCAGUGAAGAUGCUGGUUACCCGCGCCAGGACGGAAAGACCCCAUGGAGCUUUACUCCAGUUUGGUACUGGGAUUCGGUACUGCACGUACAGGAUAGGUGGGAGACUUUGAAACUUGAACGCCAGUUUGAGUGGAGUCGCUGUUGGGAUACCACCCCUGCAGUAUUGGAUUUCUAACCAGUCACCGUGAUCCGGUGAUGGGACAAUGCCAGGCGGGGAGUUUGACUGGGGCGGUCGCCUCCGAAAGGG
rnacentral:rRNA from 1 species